GGGUAUAGCUCAGUGGUGGGAGCACCUGCUUAGCAUGCACAAGGUCUUGGGUUCAAUCCCUAGUACCUCCA
rnacentral:tRNA from 1 species